rnacentral:rRNA from 1 species
ACCCUUUAAUGUUUGAUGUUCUAACGUUGGCCCGUUAUCCGGGUUGCGGACAGUGUCUGGUGGGUAGUUUGACUGGGGCGGUCUCCUCCUAAAGAGUAACGGAGGAGCACGAAGGUUGGCUAAUCCUGGUCGGACAUCAGGAGGUUAGUGCAAUGGCAUAAGCCAGCUUGACUGCGAGCGUGACGGCGCGAGCAGGUGCGAAAGCAGGUCAUAGUGAUCCGGUGGUUCUGAAUGGAAGGGCCAUCGCUCAACGGAUAAAAGGUACUCCGGGGAUAACAGGCUGAUACCGCCCAAGAGUUCAUAUCGACGGCGGUGUUUGGCACCUCGAUGUCGGCUCAUCACAUCCUGGGGCUGAAGUAGGUCCCAAGGGUAUGGCUGUUCGCCAUUUAAAGUGGUACGCGAGCUGGGUUUAGAACGUCGUGAGACAGUUCGGUCCCUAUCUGCCGUGGGCGCUGGAGAACUGAGGGGGGCUGCUCCUAGUACGAGAGGACCGGAGUGGACGCAUCACUGGUGUUCGGGUUGUCAUGCCAAUGGCACUGCCCGGUAGCUAAAUGCGGAAGAGAUAAGUGCUGAAAGCAUCUAAGCACGAAACUUGCCCCG